rnacentral:rRNA from 1 species
CACAAGCGGUGGAGCAUGUGGUUUAAUUCGAUGCAACGCGAAGAACCUUACCUGGUCUUGACAUCCUGCGAACUUUCUAGAAAUAGAUUGGUGCCUUCGGGAACGCAGUGACAGGUGCUGCAUGGCUGUCGUCAGCUCGUGUCGUGAGAUGUUGGGUUAAGUCUCGUAACGAGCGCAACCCCUAUCCUUAUUUGCCAGCACAUUAUGGUGGGAACUAUAAGGUGACUGCCGGUGAUAAACCGGAGGAAGGCGGGGAUGACGUCAAGUCAUCAUGGCCCUUACGACCAGGGCUACACACGUGCUACAAUGGGAAGGACAAAGAGCCGCGAAGCCGCGAGGUGUAGCUAAUCUCACAAAUCUUCUCGUAGUCCGGAUUGGAGUCUGCAACUCGACUCCAUGAAGUCGGAAUCGCUAGUAAUCGUAGAUCAGAAUGCUACGGUGAAUACGUUCCCGGGUCUUGUACACACCGCCCGUCAUACCAUGGGAGUGGGUUGCACCAGAAGUGGCUAGUCUAACUUAGUGAGGACGGUCACCACGGUGUGAUUCAUGACUGGGGUAAAGUCGUAACAAGGUA